CGACCUGUAAAUAAAACAUUUGACUCCAAGUACACAAAACUGACAUUAAAGCAUGACGAAGAUAACACGAAAAUUUGGGGGUGCUUUUCUGGGCAUAGAGUUGGACUUGUUAGACUGAUACCUAAGCAUGGAUCAAUUCCAAUACAAAAUCAUACUGGAAGAAACAAUGUUACCGUAUGCUGAUGAAGUGCUUUCAGCUAUUUGGAUAUUCCAGAACGACAAUGAUCCGAAUUUUGAAGCCUACACCGUUGAGAAAUUCUGCAUAACACAGUCAGUUUCUGUCUUAGACUAGCCAGCUAACGUCCAGAUCUAAAUUCAAUUGAAAAUCUUUAGUGUGAAGCCAAGAAAAGUGUAAUCAAACGACAGUGUAGCAUUUUAAGAGCAUUACGAUGUUUAGUUGGAAUAAUGGAGUUCUAUUUCUCUUGAAAAAU